rnacentral:rRNA from 1 species
UACGUAGGGUGCGAGCGUUAAUCGGAAUUACUGGGCGUAAAGCGUGCGCAGGCGGUUCGACAAGUCCGAUGUGAAAGCCCCGGGCUCAACCUGGGAAUGGCAUUGGAAACUGGCGAGCUUGAGUGUGGCAGAGGGGGGUGGGAAUUCCGCGUGUAGCAGUGAAAUGCGUAGAGAUGCGGAGGAACACCGAUGGCGAAGGCAGCCCCCCUGGGCUGACACUGACGCUCAGGCACGAAAGCGUGGGGAGCAAACAGG